rnacentral:rRNA from 1 species
AGUCGAGCGGAUGAAGAGAGCUUGCUCUCUUGUUCAGCGGCGGACGGGUGAGUAAUGCCUAGGAAUCUGCCUGGUAGUGGGGGACAACGUCUCGAAAGGGACGCUAAUACCGCAUACGUCCUACGGGAGAAAGCAGGGGACCUUCGGGCCUUGCGCUAUCAGAUGAGCCUAGGUCGGAUUAGCUAGUUGGUGAGGUAAUGGCUCACCAAGGCGACGAUCCGUAACUGGUCUGAGAGGAUGAUCAGUCACACUGGAACUGAGACACGGUCCAGACUCCUACGGGAGGCAGCAGUGGGGAAUAUUGGACAAUGGGCGAAAGCCUGAUCCAGCCAUGCCGCGUGUGUGAAGAAGGUCUUCGGAUUGUAAAGCACUUUAAGUUGGGAGGAAGGGCAGUAAGCGAAUACCUUGCUGUUUUGACGUUACCGACAGAAUAAGCACCGGCUAACUCUGUGCCAGCAGCCGCGGUAAUACAGAGGGUGCAAGCGUUAAUCGGAAUUACUGGGCGUAAAGCGCGCGUGGGUGGUUUGUUAAGUUGAAUGUGAAAUCCCCGGGCUCAACCUGGGAACUGCAUCCAAAACUGGCAAGCUAGAGUAGGGCAGAGGGUGGUGGAAUUUCCUGUGUAGCGGUGAAAUGCGUAGAUAUAGGAAGGAACACCAGUGGCGAAGGCGACCACCUGGGCUCAUACUGACACUGAGGUGCGAAAGCGUGGGGAGCAAACAGGAUUAGAUACCCCGGUAGUCCACGCCGUAAACGAUGUCAACUAGCCGUUGGAAGCCUUGAGCUUUUAGUGGCGCAGCUAACGCAUUAAGUUGACCGCCUGGGGAGUACGGCCGCAAGGUUAAAACUCAAAUGAAUUGAC